UUUUCAUUCCUUUCUAAACUUUCUUUGGUGCUGUUUUAAAAGCAAAUGAGCAGAUGGCAAUUAUGCCUCUUUAUAUGCAGCUUGUGACAUGUUGGACGUGUUUUAACAUUGAAACAGAGGUGCAGCCCACCUUGUGUUGGGACAUCUGUGUUACAGUGAAAAAAAAUCCAAAAACAUGAGAUCAAGUCCCAGACACGUCUGUGACAUGGCUAAGCUGCUUCACAUUCGUUGAAGUUCUUUGACAUUAAAUUGGGAUGUGAAAGGGGCUUCCACUUGUUAAAGUAGCCUUUAGUUACUAUGUGAAUGACUACUGAAGAAGGUAAACAAGGUGAUCUUAAUUUCUCCAUUUUUCCUAUCGCAUGAAAAUCCAUCUAUAGAAAAUUUGAAUAUGUAUAAAUAGAAAUAAUUUCAUAUUAUGUGUGAUUUAUAGUGUAGUCUUAAAUUUUUCAUUUAUUUAAUAUAAUUCGAUAUCAUAUACAUAUGAAGGCUGCUCCAUGAAAGGUAAGGAAAUAUAACCUAGGAUUUCUAGGUCAAGUCAACAUUUGGUGUCAUUUUUCAAGAACUUAUUCCAGUAGGAAGUGAUGCAGCAAACACCAUGCACUACGUGAUUCAUUUAACAAGAUUGCAUCAAGUUCACAUGUAGAAAUGCAUUCUAAAGCUCCACUCCACACAGAGUGGUGUUGCCAUUACUUGACUAUGCACCUUAUCUAGCAUGAACUUCAAUUCGAAAUUCAAGUUCCAAAUUCUCUAUUCCAUGUGCAGCUUGAAUAUUAUAUUUCGCCGCUAUUUUUUCUUUUUUAAGCUUAGUUGUUUAUAUGGCUAAUCUAUUGAAUAAAAUACUUGAACAAGAUAAUCUCUCCCGACAUGCAUUUGACACUAUCAUAUGUCAACAAAUCACAUGAAUUAAUUAAAGAAAACCCAUUUCAAAGUGGGGGGAUCUUAGUUAUCAAUAGCCACUAAGAUAUUAGAUAUGUGCAUGACUCUUGAGGCCUGAUGAACUUGUGAUUGUGGUUAGUGAAUAAUUCGAGGUUAGGCAGAAGGCAUUGUUGGAAAGCAGGAGAGAAACUGCAGGAUGGCUAUUUUGACAGUGGAUAAGGGCAAUCCAAUAGAUUAGGCAAUUUGGACCAUUAUGAUCAGAUAUUGUACGUAUGGAUGGGGACCCGUCAAGCUCACCGCAAUCUUAAACGAAUGAGGUUGAAAUUAUGUUAGCUAUCAGCUUAUUUGAUUUGAAGAGAUAAUUACACAUUUGUUUUGCUAUUUGCUUGUACUAUACCCUAUAAAUGUUCAAUAUUCAUCUAAAUACAUAAAAAUUUGUUACUCA